GGCAUCAACACAUAUAAUAAUAUAGAACCGAAUCCGCAUACAAAAUUCUUGCGGCGCGCUUUGUUUAAAUUAAAAGCUUUACUUUACACCAAACAGUCGAAUUCUAAUUCUAUUAUUUGGCGGUCGAUCGACCACCAAAUUGAUGUUUUUUUUUAUUAUCGAAGCCAAUUUGCAGUUGGUCGCUACGUUCUUUACUGUUUAACCGGAGGAAAUAGGUAUGGCGACGGUCACAAGGACCGUACAGCCGGAACAGUAACAGCUAGGUAGGUAACUACCACUAUUUAUUACAUUGGUGGCACCAAUGCCUGCCACGGGCAGUGGCCUAUUCUGCUGGUUGGACAGCGUGGUGAAUGAGCAUUUCGCUCGCACGGUGUAAUGCAACCUUUGUCGCGCAGACUAGUGUUGCGGCGCGAUAGUCUAUUAUCGAUAGCGUUUCGAUGGACUGGAAUCAAGGUGUAAAAACUACCUCAGAUACACAAUGCCCCACAUCAGAAGUGCGGCUUAACUAUUUUUGAGUAGGUAGUUACCUACUUACGCAAAAUCUGCUAAAAUCGUGAGUGUGGAUAAUAUUCUUCAAAAAAUUAAGUGUCAAAGCAGAUCAUCAUUGGAAGUUGGUAAGUCAAUUGAAUUCACUACUUACACUACAUUGCAUUGCUCUUGUCAUGGCGUUUUGCAGUCCAGCCAUGAGGUACCUAAGUACCUAUUGCCUGGCUUUUCCGAGAUUGUUUUAUCUAUUUGGGGUAUACAAAUUUACUGUCAUGCCCACAUGCGUCCACUCAAAACUUAUUUUUGUUAAUAUCUCGCGAUGAAAUCUAUACUACAUUUUAAGUUAAUCUAUCUGCUAUACAACUGUGAAAACCGCAUCAAAUUAGUUUUUGCGUGAUACAUACAGACAGACAAAAAUUAAAAAUAUUUUGGCUUUUAUUAAUCCCACAAAAAGACCCUACCCUAUACCUACAUAGGUAAUUACCUAUUUAUAUUUCUGUAAUAUCCUAUUUACAGACAGCCCUACAGCUUUGUUAUAAUUAUACAUAUAGAUUGCCAACAUAGGUACGUACCUACGUAGAUGAAAAUAACCGAAUUCUCGGCCAUCAUUUAAAAAUGAAAAUCUGUUAUUAAAAAUAGGAAAACCUACAAUAUUAGCAGGACCCGUAGCGUAUUCUAUUGGUAACAAAUUAAUCUAGACUUUAAUUACCCUACCUAAAAGAACCAUUUUAUGUUGAAGAGUUAAUUGUUUACAUUUUUGAGUGUUAGUUCACAUAUCGUUUAUUUGUUGCUCAGUAAAUAUUAAUAAACAUUGGAUUGAAUACACUGUUUGGAUCGAUCGAUAAAAUCAAACAACGGAUUCCAUAGUGGAUAAUUUUCAUUGUCAAUUCAAUUUUAAUUUUUCAUCAUUUGGCACAAUUGCCGCACUAAAUACCUACCUCUAUGUCUGCAGAUUGUUGCAGAUUUGGUCAAAAUUUAACAAUUAAACUAGACAUUUAGGUAUAAAACCAAACUCUUGUGGAAUAAAACCAAACGAUAUUCUCACAACUCGGCGCAAAAUCAAUAAAAAUACUCAAAUAUUUAGUUCGCCACUUGUAGAGGAUCAUAUCGAACAAUUAUGCAACUGGUCAAGUAACAAUGCUGGUGAUUAGAUAAGGUCAAAUGAGAAAUGAAUCGUAGAUUACGCGCUUAUUGCUGAAUGACCGUGCGGGCGCGAUGUAAAUAUCAAGAAAGGCUACGUCACACCUGCAGGCGCACGCCAUUCCGGCCCGGCAUAAUAUUCAGUAAAUAUAAUACCUGUAAUUGAAAUCAAAGCAUGUAAUAAAGCCUAUUUUAAUAAAUGA